rnacentral:tRNA from 1 species
GCUCUUUUAGUAUAAUCAGUACAGCUGACUUCCAAUCAGCCAGAUUCAGCCUCAUCUGAAAAAGAGCA